rnacentral:rRNA from 1 species
AGGGUGUAAACGCUGCGGGCUUGGUGUUGGGGGUCCUUUGAGGGCGCCCAGUGCCGGAGAGAAGUUGUUAAGCCUGCUGCUUGGGGAGUACGUCCGCAAGGAUGAAACUUAAAGGAAUUGGCGGGGGAGCACAACAACGGGUGGAGCUUGCGGUUUAAUUGGAUUCAACGCCGGAAAUCUUACCGGGACCGACAGCAACAUGAAGGCCAAGCUGAAGACUUUGCCGGAUUAGCUGAGAGGUGGUGCAUGGCGUAGUCGUGU